rnacentral:misc_RNA from 1 species
AACUUUUGACAAUGGAUCUCUUGGCUCUCGCAACGAUGAAGAACGCAGCGAAAUGCGAUACGUAAUGUGAAUUGCUUUCCGUGAAUCAUCAAAUCUUUGAACGCACAUUGCACUCUUUGGAGUAUGCUUGUUUGAGAAUCUAUAUAAUCUAUUCGCUUUGUCUGAGAGUCUUAGUGACAGUCUGACAGAGGGAGAAAUGAUUUUCCCCAAUCACGUGGGUGUCACGAACAUGUGACGUCCACCCACUUGGGGUUUAUCAAAAGUUAUUCCACCUCGUCUUUGCUGAUGACCAGGGAAAUGUAUGUGAGUCUCUGACCAGAGAAUCACAAUGCCUACUACCAGGGCCAGACCAGGGACGACACAGGACGACAACACUCAAGAUCUCAAAUCAAGUAGGAGGACCCGCUGAACUUAAGCAUAUCAAUAAGCGGAGGCU